CGGGUCGGGUAAUGGGCCAGACUUUGAGUAUUACGGGCACCCGUUAAAUAUCCUAAUUUUAAUUUUUUUUUAAAAAACAAUUAUUGGCUGGAACUCAAAUUAGGGUUACUUUCAUAUAGUCUUCUCUCUCCUCACUUCCUUAGACAAUCAGUAGCUGCAUCUCAACAUUCUCCUCACUCUUUUUCUCUCUCCUCGCUCACUCUCAAUUCCCAAUCACACACUCUCAAUUGUCUCAAUUCUGAAGCGAACCUCCUUCCUCCAUCUCAGGCGAACCUCCGUUGACCGUUAGUUCCUCACAGUCAGCCGCGUAAGGGAUUAAAGCUAGACUUGGUUUUGGAGCGACCAACAAUUAUCAUUAAUGAAACUAUUGAAGCCUCGGAUUUCACAAAUGACUGAAAUUAUCCUCUCUCCCAUUUCGUUUGAUUUGUGGCUUUAAGAUAUUGUUUGGACUUUGUAAUUUAUUAGGUUGUUUUGUUGUUUUAAUUUGAUGUAAACUGUUUAAACUCUCUGAACUCUCUAGCUGGACACCUUGAACUUUGAACUUUGGUUUGCAUUUUGUACUUUGAAUCAGAAUUUGUUUAAGUGAUGAGAAUAAUUCAA